rnacentral:rRNA from 1 species
CCUACGGGUGGCAGCAGUGGGGAAUAUUGCGCAAUGGGCGAAAGCCUGACGCAGCGACGCCGCGUGAGGGAUGAAGGUCUUCGGAUCGUAAACCUCUGUCAGCAGGGAAGAACGGACACUGAGGUAAUCAGCAGUGACUUGACGGUACCUGCAAAGGAAGCACCGGCUAACUCCGUGCCAGCAGCCGCGGUAAUACGGAGGGUGCGAGCGUUAAUCGGAAUUACUGGGCGUAAAGCGCUCGUAGGCGGUAUGUCAAGUCAAGGGUGAAAUCCCCGCGCUCAACGGGGGAACUGCCUUGGAAACUGGCAAACUGGAGUGUGUGAGAGGAUAGUGGAAUUCCAGGUGUAGGAGUGAAAUCCGCAGAUAUCUGGAGGAACAUCAGUGGCGAAGGCGACUAUCUGGCACAUAACUGACGCUGAGGAGCGAAAGCGUGGGUAGCAAACAGGAUUAGAUACCCUAGUAGUC